CAUUUAAAACAGCAAAAAAAUACCAAAUACCUGCACAGUAUGUAUGAUAAAUGCAUAUGAUAAAGUAAAAAAAAAAAAGCACACACUGAAAGAAAGCCAACAGAAGAGGGCACUGGGCAUGGGCCAGGGAGGGCAAGAAUUGGGAUGGGGACAUGGAGGAGCCCAAUCCAAGGCAAGACACAGGUUCAGGCUUUACCACAGUCACAAAGGCUGCUUCUUGUUUUUGUUUUUAGCAGAAGGUAAGCAUGAGCAAAUCACUUUUUAGAGGUAACUUUGCUGGACUUGUGAAGAAUGGUGUGCAAGGUCCAGAGCGACUGCAGGAGAGGGAAGGUGGGAUUCCCACAGAGCAGGAGCACAGAUGAGCCAAGCAAGGCCCUGCUUAGAAGGCAGCAAUCAACAGAGAUGCACAGACCUGUGAGGGUGCCGGGACAGCCAUGCAACAAUGCAGCCCUUUUGCUUCCUAAGCUCACCAGUUCCCUCGCUCCACCUCUGAGAGGUGGUUUGGAGAAACACAGCCCUUCUCAAGAGGUUUGCAAGCUACUUAAGUCCUGAAAAUUUCCACAAGGCUGAGUCAAAUCUGCGUUUCAUCAUCUAUAAGAAAGGUACCUAUCGAGAACACCCUGCUGGCCAGUGUGUAAAUAUCUAAAGGAGGACUCAGAAAACACCGGGGAAGUCCAGCCUGCAUGUG
rnacentral:lncRNA from 10 species